rnacentral:rRNA from 1 species
CAAUAGCGUAUAUCAAAGUUGUUGCAGUUAGAACGCUCGUAGUCGGAUUUCGGGGCGGGUCGACCGGUCUGCCGAUGGGUAUGCACUGGCCGACGCGUCCUUCCUUCCGGAGACCGUCUCACUCUUAACUGAGCGGAGGCGGGAGACGGAAUUUUUACUUUGAAAAAAUCAGAGUGUUUCAAGCAGGCAGCUCGCUCUUGCAUGGAUUAGCAUGGGAUAAUGAAAUAGGACUUUGGUGCUAUUUUGUUGGUUUCGAACACCGAAGUAAUGAUGAGAAGGGACAGUCAGGGGCACUCGUAUUCCGCCGAGAGAGGUGAAAUUCUCAGACCAGCGGAAGACGAACCACUGCGAAAGCAUUUGCCAGGGAUGUUUUCACUGA